UAGGUCAAAGCGUCCCGAAGUACUUAACGUUGCCAUGGAAACCUCUCGUAGGUAUACCGGGAGAUGCACUGAUUAUAAGGGGGGAGUUUAGGGAUGAAAGGAGGGAGGGAUCGAGGGAGAGAGGAUGGAAGGAAGGAAGGAAAGGAGAAACUCAGGAAGAAAGAAGGAAGGAAAGAGGGAAUGAUAGAUGAAGUGGAUAUGUGCCUAAUACAUGUCUUACCUGAACACAAAACUUUAGACUGAAGUAAAGAUUAUAGUUGAAUGCAAGGAGGGAGGAAGAGAAGGAAGGAAAGAAGGAAGGAACGGAGUGAGAGAAACGUGUCUAAUACUUGUCUUACUGGAACGCAAAACGAAGAUUAAAUUAGAGGUUUUUGUUGAAGGCAAAAUUACAAGUGGUAGUUUAGAGAUGAAAGAAAGAAGGAAAUAAGAGAGGAAGAGAGGGAUGGAGGGAAGGAAAGAAGGGAGGGAGAGAGGAAACGGAGGGAGAGACGGAAUGACAGGAAAAGUUGAAGGAAGGAAGGAAGGAAGGAAGAAAGAAAAGAAGGGAUGGAGGUUGGGAAAGGUAAAGAUAAAGUUGAUUAAGUAAAAAAAGAGAUUAAUCAAGGUGACAAAAUUAUAUAAAGAAAAACAAAAAUGAUAAUACGCGGAAAGAAAGAAAGAAAGAAAGAAAGAAAGAAAGAAAAGAAUGGAUGGAGGUUGGGAAAGGUAAAGAUAAAGUUGAUUAAGUAAAAAAGAGACUAAUCAAGGUGACAAAAUUAUAUAAAGAAAAACAAAAAUUAUAAUACUCGGAAAGAAAGAAAGAAAGAAAGAAAG